AGAGUUUGAUCCAUGGCUCAGGACGAACGCUGGCGGCGUGCUUAACACAUGCAAGUCGAACGGAAAGGCCCUUCGGGGUGCUCGAGUGGCGAACGGGUGAGUAACACGUGGGUGAUCUGCCCUGCACUUUGGGAUAAGCCUGGGAAACUGGGUCUAAUACCGAAUAUGACCGCAUGCUUCAUGGUGUGUGGUGGAAAGCUUUUGCGGUGUGGGAUGGGCCCGCGGCCUAUCAGCUUGUUGGUGGGGUAAUGGCCUACCAAGGCGACGACGGGUAGCCGGCCUGAGAGGGUGACCGGCCACACUGGGACUGAGAUACGGCCCAGACUCCUACGGGAGGCAGCAGUGGGGAAUAUUGCACAAUGGGCGCAAGCCUGAUGCAGCGACGCCGCGUGGGGGAUGACGGCCUUCGGGUUGUAAACCUCUUUCAGCACAGACGAAGCGUAAGAGACGGUAUG
rnacentral:rRNA from 1 species